rnacentral:rRNA from 1 species
AGGACGAACGCUGGCGGCGUGCUUAACACAUGCAAGUCGAACGAGGUGCUUGCACCUAGUGGCGAACGGGUGAGUAACACGUGAGCAACCUGCCCUUGGCUCUGGGAUAGCCUCCGGAAACGGGGAUUAAUACCGGACAUGACCUUCUUCCGCAUGGUUGAAGGUGGAAAGUUUUUCGGCCAGGGAGGGGCUCGCGGCCUAUCAGCUUGUUGGAGGGGUAACGGCCCACCAAGGCGACGACGGGUAG